rnacentral:rRNA from 1 species
UACGUAGGGUGCAAGCGUUAAUCGGAAUUACUGGGCGUAAAGCGUGCGCAGGCGGUUCUAUAAGACAGAUGUGAAAUCCCCGGGCUCAACCUGGGAAUUGCAUUUGUGACUGUAGGGCUAGAGUACGGUAGAGGGGGAUGGGAAUUCCGCGUGUAGCAGUGAAAUGCGUAGGAUAUGCGGAGGAACACCGAUGGACGAAGGCCAAUCCCCUGGACCUGUACUGACGCUCAUGACGACGAAAGGCGUGGGGAACAAACGAGG